UCAAAGAGAGGAGAUUCUAACUCCCACCUUCAGCUCCCAAAGCCGAGAUUCUAAGCUAAACUACUCUUUG
rnacentral:tRNA from 1 species